AUUGAACGCUGGCGGCAUGCCUUACACAUGCAAGUCGAACGGCAGCGGGGGAGAAGCUUGCUUUUCCUGCCGGCGAGUGGCGAACGGGUGAGUAAUACAUCGGAACGUGCCCUGUAGUGGGGGAUAACUAGUCGAAAGAUUAGAUAAUACCGCAUACGACCUGAGGGUGAAAGUGGGGGACCGCUAGGCCUCAUGCUAUAGGAGCGGCCGAUGUCUGCUUAGCUAGUUGGUGGGGUAAAGGCCUACCAAGGCGACGAUCAGUAGCUGGUCGGAGAGGACGAUCAGCCACACUGGGACGGAGACACGGCCCAGACUCCUACGGGAGGCAGCAGUGGGGAAUUUUGGACAAUGGGCGAAAGCCUGAUCCAGCAAUGCCGCGUGUGUGAAGAAGGCCUUCGGGUUGUAAAGCACUUUUGUCCGGAAAGAAAUGGCUCUGGUUAAUACCUGGGGUCGAUGACGGUACCGGAAGAAUAAGGACCGGCUAACUACGUGCCAGCCGCCGCCGUAACAC
rnacentral:rRNA from 1 species